CUGAGUUGAUUAUGAGAAAGAGGGUUGAAGUCAACAAAAAAUCAACGAACGUGACUAUGAAGAAGAGAAUUUGGAGAACCUUAACCUUACCAUGCCUGCUUCUGUUCUUCCUUCUUUUGGCGUUUGAGAUCAACUUUUCCUCCUUUCUGAGCUUCAACUGGCCACCCAUGAAAACUAGUCCAGUUUGGAUAGUAACAGAAACCGAACGAGAUAUGAUUGAAUUAGAAUUGAACACAAGCAAACAUGGCACAGCGCUGAUGAAGGAAAUGGCUCCUCCACCGAGAGAAAUCACCUGCGACCGUUCCCAUUAUGCUUAUGACAUCUGCACCACCAACGUGGCAACAACCCUGAACCCCACCACCUCCACUUUCUUCAUCCAACGUCCCACCACAGUCGAUCCAAAUCAAACGGCCACAAAAAUCCGUCCUUAUCCUAGAAAAUUCGAUAGUCCUGUAAUGUCAAGGAUCAAGGAGUUGACCAUCACCGCAGGCAGACCAAUCCCAUCGUGCCGCGUCAAGCACGAAGCCCCUGCGUUGGUAUUCAGUGCGGGAGGGUACACGGGAAACUUCUUCCACGACUUCAAUGACGGGUUCAUCCCUCUAUUUAUCACCCUCAAUUCUUUCUUCCAUGAUAAAGACGUGGUGCUUGUGAUUUCUAAGGCUCGUGAUUGGUGGGUCAACAAGUAUGCAACUUUACUUCGUCAAUUUAGCAAGCACCC
rnacentral:sRNA from 1 species